GACGAAUGCUGGCGGCGUGCUUAACACAUGCAAGUCGAACGGAAAGGCCCUGAUCUUGUGGGGUGCUCGAGUGGCGAACGGGUGAGUAAAACGCGAGUAACCUGCACUUGACUUUGGGAUAACUCCUGGAAACUGGGGCUAAUAUCGGAUAGGAGCUCUUGAUGCAUGGUGGGGGAUGGAAAGUUUCGGUGGUUGGGGAUGGACUCGAGGCCUAUCAGCUUGUGGUGGGGUAGUGGCAUACCAAGGCUUUGACAGGUAGCCGGCCUGAGAGGGUGACCGGCCACAUUGGGACUGAGAUACGGCCCAGACGCCUACCGGAGGCAACAGUGGAGAAUAUUGCAGAAUAGGCGGAAGCCUGAUGCAGCAACGCCGCGUGCGGGAUGACGGCCUUCGAGUUAUAAACCGCUUUCGCCUGUAACGAAGCGUGAGUGACGGUAAUUGGUAAGAAAGCACCGGCUAACUACGUG
rnacentral:rRNA from 1 species